AUGGCAAUAAACUGUGUAGGAGUUUAUUAUUGCAAUAGAAUAAAAUCGACCAAGCCUGAAGUCAGCAGCCCCUUCAAUGAAUGCAGCAGUGUGACAGCCAACAAUCAAAAGUUACAAGAUAUCGAGGAAAUGCAGAAGGCAAAAAACUGCGUAGGAGAUCAUUAAUACAAAAGUAUUAUAUAAACCAAACCUGAUGUUGCCAGCUCCUUCAAUGAAUGCAGCAGUGUGACAGCCAGCAAUCAAAAGUAACAAGAUAUCGAGAAAAUGCAGAUGGCAAUAAACUGUGUAGGAGUUUAUUAUUGCAAUAGAAUAAAAUCGACCAAGCCUGAAGUCAGCAGCCCCUUCAAUGAAUGCAGCAGUGUGACAGCCAGCAAUCAAAAGUAACAAGAUAUCGAGAAAAUGCAGAUGGCAAUAAACUGUGUAGGAGUUUAUUAUUGCAAUAGAAUAAAAUCGACCAAGCCUGAAGUCAGCAGCCCCUUCAAUGAAUGCAGCAGUGUGACAGCCAGCAAUCAAAAGUAACAAGAUAUCGAGGAAAUGCAGAAGGCAAAAAACUGCGUAGGAGAUCAUUAAUACAAUAGUAUUAUAUAAACCAAGCCUGAUGUUGGCCGCUCAUUCAAAGAAUGCAGCAGUGUGACAGCCAGCAAUCAAAAGUAACAAGAUGUCGAGGAAAUGCAGAGUGCAAUAAACUUUGUAGGAGAUUAUGAUUGCAAUAGAAUAAAAUCGACCAAGCCUGAAGUUCUUCAAUGCACGCAGCAGUGUGACAGCCAGCAAUCAAAAGUUACAAGAUAUCGAGGAAAUGCAGAAGGCAAAAAACUGCGUAGGAGAUUAUUAAUACAAUAGUAUUAUAUCAACCAAGCCUGAUGUCGGUAGCUUCUUCAAUGAAUGCAGCAGUGUGAC